AGGAGGUGUCUUCAAAAGCAUCAAGGAAAAAAUAUCAAAUAUUCUGAUAUUUAAUAUCAAAUAUCAAAAUUUGCCGUGGUGCCCAGCAUGGUUCAAGAUCAUAAGUGUCAAGCACAUCAGGGCAAGAAUCUUCUGUUCCAUAUGCAACAUCUUCUGGCAGCCUUGUCCUUUUUCUGUCCUUGACGACUACAAUAACAAACAGCUGUUGCCGAGGCAUUGCUGUUGACGUGUUACCUUUGAAACCUCCCUCCUGUUAUGGAAUAAGCCUCUUCCAGAUCAUGGAUCAUUAUCAUCUAGUCUGACAAGCAGCCUUGUUGCCACGGAGACCCAAAGGGAUCAGGUGUGGUGUUUGCCUGCAUCAUCACCCCCUCCAAGGGAACAAUAAGGACUCUUCUGUGCGUCAUGCGUGGCUGUCCUGGGGCUGGCUGCCACCAGACUUUUCCUGCGGGUAAAACCUAAACAAAUGAUCAGCUGCAGAUAAUAUCAAGACCUCUGUUCGAUAUGUUAAUAGUGACAGCCAUAUUUCCACAAUUAACAACGAGGUGGGAAGAAAACACUGUAGUCACCAGACUUGGGAGGAGAGGGUUUGUAUUCACAUAAACACAACCUCACGUCACUGCUUGCCACCACAAAGGGCUCUGUUCACUGUUUUGUUCUCAAAGAUCAUCCUUGCGCUCAUCCUCUGAUCUUGAAUUUCUACAUAACUUUCUCAGUUUAUAUGCCCUGUGGCAAGUGCAGCAAGCACUGUUUCCUGUUUCUAAACUUGUAGAAAAUCAUCCAUACAUCUUACAGUUGUCAGUUUUAACCAGAUAACAGUGGCACUUUGUUGCUGCUUUUUUAUCUUUAGCUUAGGUUAACAGGACCCUGGAAGUAAAGUUGUUGAUUUAUUCAAUAGAGUAUUCUCAAUUAAUUUGGCUAGAUUUCUACAUGAUUCAAAAUCUAAAAAAGUAGAAAUGCAUGCUUACAUGUCUAAGGCCUGAAAAAUUGGUGGUGACAUCCCAAAAUAAAUGAAGGUUUUAAAACAA
rnacentral:antisense_RNA from 1 species